ACACCGUUGGUGAAGUGGUUAUCAUGCUUGCCUUCCAUGGCGGUGUCUUGCGAUUAUUAGCAAGCGGCUCGGGUUCGAUUCCCGAACGGUGUA